rnacentral:rRNA from 1 species
UACGUAGGGUGCGAGCGUUGUCCGGAAUUAUUGGGCGUAAAGAGCUCGUAGGCGGCUUGUCGCGUCGGAUGUGAAAGCCCGGGGCUUAACUCCGGGUCUGCAUUCGAUACGGGCAGGCUAGAGUUCGGUAGGGGAGAUCGGAAUUCCUGGUGUAGCGGUGAAAUGCGCAGAUAUCAGGAGGAACACCGGUGGCGAAGGCGGGUCUCUGGGCCGUUACUGACGCUGAGGAGCGAAAGCGUGGGGAGCGAACAGG